rnacentral:rRNA from 1 species
UACGUAGGGUGCGAGCGUUAAUCGGAAUUACUGGGCGUAAAGCGUGCGCAGGCGGUUCGUUGUGUCGGUGGUGAAAGCCCCGGGCUUAACCUGGGAAUGGCCAUGGAAACUGCCUGGCUUGAGUUCGGGAGAGGGAAGCGGAAUUCCGGGUGUAGCGGUGAAAUGCGUAGAUAUCCGGAGGAACACCGGUGGCGAAGGCGGCUUCCUGGACCGACACUGACGCUGAGGCGCGAAAGCUAGGGGAGCAAACGGG